rnacentral:lncRNA from 1 species
CCCCGACCCCGUUCGUAAGCCCUAAUCCGUAUUUUCCUUUUUUCUUUUCUACCAAUAAUACUGUGUAUCCCACUGCACCAGCCUGUGUUGAGUUCAAUUAAUCAAGCCUUUGUUGAGUUCAGUUCAAUCCCACUUCACAAAAUGUAUAAUACAUCAAUCGAAUCAAUUAAUCAAAACAUGAUGAUACAUAUGUGUCCACUGCACAAAAUGUAUGAUAUGCAUGGCUUCGAACUUCAAAUAUUUAUUAGAGUAAAUAUUUAUAUGGGUCAAAACAUGAUGAUACAUAUGUGUCCACUGCACAAUAUUUAUAAGAGUAAAUAUUUUGUAUUCUCAGCUAUAAUACCAUGU